GCUACAUGGCGAUGCGACCAUGAGUUUCAUACGAACAUCAUUAUCAUAUAACUUUUUUGGUUGAUUUUCUUUAGGUUCUCUUUUAGUGUUUUAUCUAAAUUUUUUAAUUUUUGUCAGUGGUUCCGUGCGCAAGGCACUCGUAGUGAUUUCAAAAUACAAAUAAACACGGACUAAAUAACAAAAGAAGUACGCGGCGAACAUAAUAAACCUAGUUGAAUUUAUAAUAGAAAAUUUAAUAUGUAGGUAUAUUAUAAAACCCGGUUAACUUCUUAAAAAAACAAAUCCAAUUAAAUUUUAAAUCUUUUGGGCCAAUUAAACUCCUUUAUCCCAAUUAAAAACUUCAAAUUUUAAACCUAAACUAACACUAUUUUAGCGGUUAUUAAUCGUAUUUUCCCAGUCAAAAACUUCAAAUUUUAAAUCUAACCUAAAACUCUCUUAGCGGCAACUAAAAAAUUGUAUGUGAUGAGCGGGAAAAGGAGGGAGGACGAGACCGGCUAUUCUCUUAUUAACCUUUUGUUUGAUUCCUAUUAUGAUUGUAUUCUUAAUCGAAGCAUCGCAUAUGAACCUUGCGACAUCAGUCGGUUAUGGAUUCAUCUACAAUACCAUCUCGUUUUUGUAUUUUGGAUCCAUUGUUUACAUCAUGACCCGACCAAGACAUGUUUUCUUAGUUGAUUAUGUCUGUUCUGCAAUCGCUGUUGGACAACCAGAGUCUGCUACUAAGCUUCGCACUUGCAAUUGAUUUAUUGAAUCAGCGAUUAGGGAGAGCCGGAGACAGACAAACAAAUAGUUUGAUUUGGAACCAUGUCCUUGUUCAAGAUUUCAAUUGUGCAUUACAAGAGAAUUUUAUACUUCAAGUUUGUUUGGUACUCGAAGGGUAAUUACCCGAUGAAUACCCAACUGGUUUUGCGUUGGAUAUGGUUUAUAACCAGGUAUGAGUAUGGGCAGGAGCGGUUCUUAGAAGUGUAGUGGCAGGGCCACGGCCCGGGUCAUAUGUACCUGUCAACUCAUCACAUAUGCUUCUACAUAUACUUAUUUGGAUUUGAGACAGAAUGUCAUGCUAUGAUCAGAUUGUAUUUCAUAGAAUUCUAUGCAAUUGGGAUGCGGAAGAAAGUUGGAUAUCUAAAGAAGCGACUACAAUAUAUAUAUGAUGAAGCCGAGAAACUAGCAUACUAUGGAAUCAAUGAGCGACAAGUCCAUUAUGAAGAAUGGAGUUGGCGGCACAACUCAAAUAGUACACCGCCAUGAAAGAAACGAAGCACGCGAUGGAAUUGGAGGCGAUUGAAUUGAGGAAGAAAAGAGAGUCGGAGGCUCGCGAGCUCAUAUCGGAACAACGCGAGACGAUGAAAAACUACAAUUACGAUCGAGAUAUGAAAACAUUCCUCAAGCUGCACGACGAUGCUCCGCCAAAUA